rnacentral:lncRNA from 1 species
CGACGGAUAUGUCAUGCAUAGUAAAUUAUUGUUGUUAAACACACCUUAAUAUAAGAGAUACUUCUAAUGAACGUACUUUUAUUACGUCAAAUAUAAUGUGGGUCUGGAAUUUUAACUUUAGCACUAUAUUUAUUUGUAGACAAAGUCCUAUUCUGUCUAAUCUGUCUUUUUGAAACUACAUUUCAUAAUUUUGGAGAAAAAGUAAACAGCGAAUAGUUAUUAGAUUACAAACAAACAUGGGAGAUACUAGUGAUGAGAGUGAUAGCAACAACGACGAUAAA